UGCGCAGGCGGAAUAUUAAGUCAGUGGUGAAAUCCUACAGCUCAACUGUAGAACUGCCAUUGAUACUGAUAUUCUUGAGUAUAGUUGUAGUGGGCGGAAUAUGUCAUGUAGCGGUGAAAUGCUUAGAUAUGACAUAGAACACCGAUCGCGAAGGCAGCUCACUAAGCUAUAACUGACGCUCAGGCACGAAAGCGUGGGGAGCAAACAGGAUUAGAUACCCUGGUAGUC
rnacentral:rRNA from 1 species